CCUACGGGUAGCAGCAGUGGGGGAUAUUGCUCAAUGGGGGAAACCCUGAUCCAGCGACGCCGCGUGGGCGAAGAAGUAUUUCGGUAUGUAAAGCCCUAUCAGCAGGGAAGAAGAAAUGACGGUACCUGAGUAAUAAGCACCGGCUAAAUACGUGCCAUCAGCCGCGGUAAUACGUAGGGUGCAAGCGUUAUCCGGAUUUACUGGGUGGAAAGGGAGCGCAGGGGGCAAGGCAAGCCUGAGGUGAAAGCCAGCGGCCCAACCAGGGGACUGCAGUGGGAACUGGCGGGCUGGAGUGCCGGAGAGGUAGGCGGAAUUCGUAGUGUAGCGGUGAAAUGCGUAGAUAUUAGGAGGAACACCAGUUGCGAAGGCAGCCUACGGGACGGUGACUGACGCUGAGGCUCGAAAGUGUGGGUAUCAAACAGGAUUAGAUACCCGAGUAGUC
rnacentral:rRNA from 1 species